rnacentral:rRNA from 1 species
AGUGAACGCUGGCGGUAGGCCUAACACAUGCAAGUCGAACGGCAGCACAGUACCCGCUUGCUCUUACGGGUGGCGAGUGGCGGACGGGUGAGGAAUACAUCGGAAUCUACUUUUUCGUGGGGGAUAACGUAGGGAAACUUACGCUAAUACCGCAUACGACCUACGGGUGAAAGCAGGGGAUCUUCGGACCUUGCGCGAUUGAAUGAGCCGAUGUCGGAUUAGCUAGUUGGCGGGGUAAAGGCCCACCAAGGCGACGAUCCGUAGCUGGUCUGAGAAGAUGAUCAGCCACACUGGAACUGAGACACGGUCCAGACUCCUACGGGAGGCAGCAGUGGGGAAUAUUGGACAAUGGGCGCAAGCCUGAUCCAGCCAUACCGCGUGGGUGAAGAAGGCCUUCGGGUUGUAAAGCCCUUUUGUUGGGAAAGAAAAGCAGCAGGUUAAUACCCCGCUGUUCUGACGGUACCCAAAGAAUAAGCACCGGCUAACUUCGU